AGCAACUGCCUGAAUACAGAGGUUGAGGGGACAUGACAGAGGACAGACUUUAAAUGAACACUCUAAUGCAAAUACUAUCAACAAAGCAAUGGGUUCAAAUCAAGAAAACAUGUAAUGCCCAGUGGACUUACGCUUCGGCUAUGGGGGGUGGGGGGGAGGAAAAGAAAAUGAUCUAUGUCUUUAACGAAUAAUGCUUGGAAAUGAUCAAAUAAAAUAUAUUAAAAAAAAAAAAACUACAUCCUGAGGGCCUUGGCCCUUUACCUAGUAACCAGCAGAUAUGGAUGGGGUGGAUGGGGUGUUCAGGGAAAACAGUCCCCUCGGGCAUGAGGAAUUGCCAUGCCCUUUUCAGGACUAUUCAUGUGCUUUUGGUGUCCCCCUUCCACCAAGCUCUCCUCUGUGGCUCCACAAAGCCAUUAUAGCAUGCACAGAAGCCACCCUCGGGUGAAACCUUCCCAGCAGGCAGGCUAACCCAGGUUGAGGGUAAUUGAUGGGUCUCAGGGCUGCCAGCGAGUUAGGGGGUGACUAUUUCCAGUAGAGCAAUGCAGCGAGGGAAAUGACAGGGUGCAAAGAGUUUGACUGACAAGCCCUCAAGACUCAGAACUCUCCUGGGGCUGACAAGAAAAGUUGCAACCUGUUAAAGAGACAGUUUGUCUGGAGCUGAGAAGUGAAGCCUGAAGGGGGCAGACCUGAUCUCUCCUGGCCUCCCUUGGACAGCUUGGAAGCAGCCUCUGAAUACCGUCAAGCAAGAGUGAGCAGGAGUUUCCCCAAUACCCUCUGGUGGACAGAGAGGAAAACUGGAGGAAAUCCGUCCCUCUUUUGGACAUCGGAAGACUCAGCUGGAUCCCAUCAAAGGACUCUCGGAGGGUGGUUACCAUGGAGAUUUGGCGAGCCAAGGUGUCUGGGCAGACACGAAUCAAUAUUUCCAAUGAUCCUGGGGCUGUUCUUGACCUUGAACAAACUUCCAAGAAGAACUGGAGGGGGCUCUUCUCAAGAGAAGGGGAGUCUGAUGGAGCCGCAGCUGGGUGUCCAUUGUAGACUGCCCAAGCAGAGGGCUAAAUAAUAGCCAGAGGUCUUCGGCAGUUAAUAGACCCGAGUAGAGAACGUAGAGUCCAGUGCAGACCAGACCUGAGAGUAGACCUGAGGAGAUAGUAGAGGAGCCAGCUGAUUGUGGAGGGCCAAUGACAAUAUAUUCAUCUGUUCCCUAGCACCUUGCUUUCUCCCCCUCUCUCUGGGGCACAGACACGGCCCUACUUACUAGUCCAAACUCAUUCCUGUUGCCUCUCCCAGUGCCAAAGGGUAAGGGAAGAUGAGGACCCAUUUUGUGUCUUCCUGCCUGCAACUCCAGUGCAGCCAGACAUGGCCAAUGUGGGAAUUUGCUUUGCUCAAUCAUCCGUGUUUGUCACAGAGGUCUCUCCCAAUUAUGGGAUAGGGCAGGUGAGAGGAGGAAAGGUUGGGUCUUCAUUUGAAUUAAAGGGAAAACAUUUUUCAAAAAGAAAAAAUUCUCUAUCAGAUUAAAGAUCUUUUUCCUAAAUUCAUAGAUUUCUUCUUUCUGUCCAAGUGGUCGAGACUAAUGACAAAUGCUUCUGUUCUUGCUUCCAUUGAUGUACCUCCUCGGUACUUGGGGGCAUCACAUGCAAAGAUGAGGAAAUAGAUGUUGGAAUGCAAUGUGUGAGGAACAACAAGAAGGCCAGUUAGGCCAGACCACGGAAUGUGUAAAUAGAAAUGGUAUAUGAAAAGCCUGGAAAGUUCGACUGGCACCAGGGGGUGAAUCUUGACAGUGUUCAUCCGUAUAAGGAGAGAAAGAUAUAGUCGUUCAACUGCACAGUGACCUCCAAUCUCUCCACCCUUUAAUUCUUUCCCAAGUCAUCACCCCCUGACGUGGCUACUAAUUCUUCCCUUCCCUAUCUUGACUAAUUGGUGAACCAGUUCAACUCUACACUUGAGUCCCUUGUCCCCUGUUCAUCGUGCCUUCUUGGCAAACUCCAUCCUUGGAUUACUCCCACUGUCCACCACCUUCAU
ensembl:lncRNA